CUGGAUUUGCAAAUGCAGUGCAGCUGACUUAUGUUUCACAUGGUCAGUUGGAGAUUUCCCAGGCAAAAUUUCUAGUAACUCAGCAUUUGAUUGUCACAUCAGUGAGCAAGGCUCAGUUUAGGGAUUGAGAGCCCUCAGCGACUAUAACACCUAGCCCAUAUUCAAAUUUUAGCUCUUGAUUGCUGCCACUGAUUCUUCAAAAUGCCUAUCUUGUAUGCAAUGCUUGACAGCCAAAUGGAAUGAUUUAAACAAAUGCCAAAGGUGAGACAUGCUGGAAAAGCUUGAUAUGAAUGUGUAGACGUAGUUUUGGAAUUCAGAGGUGCAGCCGGCUGUUG